rnacentral:sRNA from 2 species
UGUCCAACCUGGGAACCUGUGUCUGUCAUGAACAACACCAUCACACUCAACACCUACAAAUCCUCACUUGCUCUGGUAGGGGGGGAUAAUGUGACAGGUUAGCACUCAUUAGUAGUUAACUUACACAAUCAACCCUCUAUCACCCAUUCACCCUCUCAUAUGCUCUCACAUAUCUAUGAAACACCUCUCUUCUCAUGAUUCUGCUCUGUGCUCAUAUAGUCUCUAACAAUUCCUUCAUGUAACCUCUAACAUUCUUCCACUCCGCACUCCACUGCAGCACAAUUCUCAAUAUUCUUCCAUUCCAAUCCUUCUUCUAUAAGAACCCCCUCAUACAACCCCUUCUUCUGAUCUUCUUUCUCUUUCUUUUCUUAAUCAAUUCAUAAACUGUUAUCAGGAUAGUGUCAAGUCCAUUGAUAUUGCCAUUGGAACAGAUCAUACAAACUGCACAGGUGGUAUGAACAGUUUAAUCUGCAACAUUGGUAACAUCUGCUUAAUUGGUGGCAUGCCCGUCACAUUAAAGCAGCUAGUGAUAUCUCUUUUGCAGAUAAUUCAGAUAGAAAAUCAAUAGAAGAUUAUAUCUUCAAGUUUUUUAAGAGAUCUAUUGAUUGAAAGUUAAAGAGAUAGAGAAUAAUAACAACUUUCAUCACUGAAGCUGAACUACUAGCUAUAUCACAGAU